rnacentral:rRNA from 1 species
AAAGAAACCAACAGGGAUUGCCCCAGUAACGGCGAGUGAAGCGGCAACAGCUCAAAUUUGAAAUCUGGCCUCGUGCCCGAGUUGUAAUUUGUAGAGGAUGCUUUUGGCGACGCGCCUUCCGAGUUCCCUGGAACGGGACGCCAUAGAGGGUGAGAGCCCCGUCCGGUCGUGCGCCUAGCCUCUGUAAAGCUCCUUCGACGAGUCGAGUAGUUUGGGAAUGCUGCUCUAAAUGGGAGGUAUACGUCUUCUAAAGCUAAAUACCGGCCAGAGACCGAUAGCGCACAAGUAGAGUGAUCGAAAGAUGAAAAGCACUUUGAAAAGAGGGUUAAAUAGUACGUGAAAUUGCUGAAAGGGAAGCGCUUAUGACCAGACUUGGGCGCGGCGGAUCAUCCGGCGUUCUCGCCGGUGCACUCCACCGCCCCAGGCCAGCAUCAGUUCGCGCCGGGGGACAAAGGCUUCGGGAAUGUGGCUCUCUCGGGAGUGUUAUAGCCCGCUGCGUAAUACCCUGGCGCGGACUGAGGUCCGCGCUCUGCAAGGAUGCUGGCGUAAUGGUCAUCAGUGACCCGUCUUGAAACACGGACCAAGGAGUCGUCUUCGUAUGCGAGUGUUCGGGUGUCAAACCCCUACGCGGAAUGAAAGUGAACGUAGGAGAGAGCUUCGGCGCAUCUCCGACCGAUCCUGAUGUUCUCGGAUGGAUUUGAGUAAGAGCAUACGGGCCGGACCCGAAAGAAGGUGAACUAUGCCUGUGUAGGGUGAAGCCAGAGGAAACUCUGGUGGAGGCUCGCAGCGGUUCUGACGUGCAAAUCGAUCGUCAAACAUGGGCAUGGGGGCGAAAGACUAAUCGAACCUUCUAGUAGCUGGUUUCCGCCGAAGUUUCCCUCAGGAUAGCAGUGUUGAACUCAGUUUUAUGAGGUAAAGCGAAUGAUUAGGGACCCGGGGGCGCUAUAUUGCCUUCAUCCAUUCUCAAACUUUAAAUAUGUAAGAAGCUCUUGUUGCUUAGUUGAACGUGAGCAUUCGAAUGUAUCAAC